UCUCAGGGAUAAACUAAUUGCCAGUCUGAGAAAACAAGGUGUUCAUCUCGGUGUCUGCGGGGAAACAACUGUAAGAUUCCGUCCUACGCUGACCUUUGAUGACCAACAUCUAGAAAUUCUUCUCCCUGCUCUUCAUCAUUCUGCCAAACAAAUAGACUCAGCUUAAUAAAUUAUAAUUUGUAAAUCAUAAGAAAAAAGACAACCUAAAUUUUGUUGAAGAAUUGUUUCAUUUAGUUUGUUAAAAAUAAAAUAUUCGACGCAUGCACGUCAGACUGAGACCUA